CCAGGGCCAGCUGGGCAGCCUCAGGGCAGAGCUCCUGGAGUCCCUCCCACCAUGGACUGGGCUCCCUUCUACCUCCUGCCCCUGGUUUUCUCCACAGGUCUCUGUGCUGUGCCUGUGCUGACCCAGCCCCCGGCUGCUUCUGCCUCCCCGGGAGCCUCAGCCAAGCUCACCUGCACCCUCAGCAGUGAGCACAGCAGCUACUACAUUGAAUGGUACCAGCAGCAUCCAGGGAAGGCCCCUCGGUAUGUGAUGCAGCUUAAGAGUGACGGAAGCCAGAGCAAGGGGGACGGGAUCCCCGAUCGCUUCUCAGGCUCCAGUUCUGGGGCCGACCGCUACUUGACCAUCUCCAACCUCCAGUCUGAGGACGAGGCUGAGUAUAUCUGUGGUGUAAGCUAUAGUACUGAUGGCCAAACUGGUUAUGUGUUCGGCGGAGGGACCCAUCUGACCGUCCUGGGUCAGCCCAAGUCUGCACCCUCGGUCACCCUGUUCCCACCCUCCACUGACGAACUCGGCAACAACAAGGCCACAUUGGUGUGUCUGGUCAGUGACUUCUACCCGGGAGCCGUGACAGUGGCCUGGAAGGAAAAUGGCAGCCCCGUCUCCCAGGGCGUGGAGACCACCAAGCCCUCCAAGCAGAGCAACAACAAGUAUGCGGCCAGCAGCUACCUGAGCGUGUCAGCCAGCAAGUGGAAAUCUGCCAGCCAGUACAGCUGCCAGGUGACCCACGAAGGCAGCACUGUGGAGAAGACAGUGGUCCCCUCGGAGUGUUCCUAGGACACUGAGCCCCCACAUUCUGGGACUCUGCUCAUCCAGAUCACCCAUUCCCCACCUCUCCACUGUACCCCUGGGACUCCCGCCCCUGUCUGCUCAGGCUGGGCUGGUCUCACUGCCUCCCCAUUUCCCAUUUUCUCAAUAAAACCCUGGUCAUUUA